GACGAACGCUGGCGGCGUGCUUAACACAUGCAAGUCGAACGGAAAGGCCCUGCUUUUGUGGGGUGCUCGAGUGGCGAACGGGUGAGUAACACGUGAGUAACCUGCCCUUGACUUUGGGAUAACUUCAGGAAACUGGGGCUAUACCGGAUAGGAGCUCCUGCUGCAUGGUGGGGGUUGGAAAGUUUCGGCGGUUGGGGAUGGACUCGCGGCUUAUCAGCUUGUUGGUGGGGUAGUGGCUUACCAAGGCUUUGACGGGUAGCCGGCCUGAGAGGGUGACCGGCCACAUUGGGACUGAGAUACGGACCAGACUCCUACGGGAGGCAGCAGUGGGGAAUAUUGCACAAUGGGCGGAAGCCUGAUGCAGCAACGCCGCGUGCGGGAUGACGGCCUUCGGGUUGUAAACCGCUUUCGCCUGUGACGAAGCGUGAGUGACGGUAAUGGGUAAAGAAGCACCGGCUAACUACGUG
rnacentral:rRNA from 1 species